UCGUGAAAAGGGAAACAACCCAGACCGCCAGCUAAGGUCCCAAAGUUGUGGUUAAGUGGUAAACGAUGUGGGAAGGCUUAGACAGCUAGGAGGUUGGCUUAGAAGCAGCCAUCCUUUAAAGAAAGCGUAAUAGCUCACUAGUCGAGUCGGCCUGCGCGGAAGAUGUAACGGGGCUCAAACCACACACCGAAGCUGCGGGUGUCACGUAAGUGACGCGGUAGAGGAGCGUUCUGUAAGCCUGUGAAGGUGAGUUGAGAAGCUUGCUGGAGGUAUCAGAAGUGCGAAUGCUGACAUGAGUAACGACAAUGGGUGUGAAAA
rnacentral:rRNA from 1 species